AUUGAACGCUGGCGGCAGGCCUAACACAUGCAAGUCGAACGAAUAGCGGACUGGUGAGUGAUUGCUGAGAACCUGCCUGAUGGAGGGGGAUAACUACUGGAACCGGUAGCUAAUGCCGCAUACCAUCCUAUGGGCCCACAUGGGAUUAGCUAGUUGGUGGGGUAACGGCUCACAAAGGCGUCGAUCCCUAGCGGGUCUGAGAGGGUGACCAGCCACAAUGGAACUGAGACACGGUCCAGACUCCUACGGGAGGCAGCAGUGGGGAAUAGUGCACAAUGGGCGCAAGCCUGAUGCAGCCAUGCCGCGUGUAUGAAGAAGGCCUUCGGGUUGUAAAGUACUUUCAGCGGGGAGGCGUUACCCGCAGAAUAAGCACCGGCUAACUACGUGCCAGCCGCCGCGGUAAUAC
rnacentral:rRNA from 1 species